rnacentral:rRNA from 1 species
AUUGAACGCUGGCGGCAGGCCUAACACAUGCAAGUCGAGCGGAUGAAGGGAGCUUGCUCCUGGAUUCAGCGGCGGACGGGUGAGUAAUGCCUAGGAAUCUGCCUGGUAGUGGGGGAUAACGUCCGGAAACGGGCGCUAAUACCGCAUACGUCCUGAGGGAGAAAGUGGGGGAUCUUCGGACCUCACGCUAUCAGAUGAGCCUAGGUCGGAUUAGCUAGUUGGUGGGGUAAAGGCCUACCAAGGCGACGAUCCGUAACUGGUCUGAGAGGAUGAUCAGUCACACUGGAACUGAGACACGGUCCAGACUCCUACGGGAGGCAGCAGUGGGGAAUAUUGGACAAUGGGCGAAAGCCUGAUCCAGCCAUGCCGCGUGUAUGAAGAAGGUCUUCGGAUUGUAAAGCACUUUAAGUUGGGAGGAAGGGCAGUAAGUUAAUACCUUGCUGUUUUGACGUUACCAGCAGAAUAAGCACCGGCUAACUUCGUG